GAUGAACGCUGGCGGCGUGCCUAACACAUGCAAGUCGAACGGGAACCCUUGGAUUCGUCUGGGGGGGAGAGUGGCAAACGGGUGAGUAACACGUAGGUGACCUGCCCCAAAGAGAGGAAUAACCACUGGAAACGGUGGCUAAUACCACAUGUGGUCUACCGGUCAACGGUAGAUUAAAGCUCCGGCGCUUUGGGAGGGGCCUGCGGCCCAUCAGGUAGUUGGUAGGGUAAUGGCCUACCAAGCCGAUGACGGGUAGGGGGCGUGAGAGCGUGAUCCCCCACACUGGCACUGAGACACGGGCCAGACUCCCACGGGAGGCAGCAGUGAGGAAUAUUGCCCAAUAGACGCAAGUCUGAGGCAGCAACGCCGCGUGCGCGAUGAAGGCUUUCGGGUUGUAAAGCGCUUUUCUGGGGGAAGAGGAAGGACGGUACCUCAGGAAUAAGUCACGGCUAACUCCGUG
rnacentral:rRNA from 1 species